rnacentral:rRNA from 1 species
UGUACCUACGGGAGGCAGCAGUGGGGAAUAUUGCACAAUGGGGGAAACCCUGAUGCAGCGACGCCGCGUGAGUGAAGAAGUAUUUCGGUAUGUAAAGCUCUAUCAGCAGGGAAGAAAUACUGACCUUACGGUCAGCAGACGGUACCUGACUAAGAAGCCCCGGCUAACUACGUGCCAGCAGCCGCGGUAAUACGUAGGGGGCAAGCGUUAUCCGGAAUUAUUGGGCGUAAAGAGUACGUAGGUGGUUUUGUAAGCGCGGGGUGAAAGG